ACGGAAGGCAGCAGUGGGGAAUAUUGCACAAUGGGCGAAAGCCUGAUGCAGCGACGCCGCGUGAGUGAAGAAGUAUUUCGGUAUGUAAAGCUCUAUCAGCAGGAAAGAAAAUGACGGUACCUGACUAAGAAGCCCCGGCUAACUACGUGCCAGCAGCCGCGGUAAUACGUAGGGGGCAAGCGUUAUCCGGAUUUACUGGGUGUAAAGGGAGCGUAGACGGUUGUGCAAGUCUGAAGUGAAAUGCCGGGGCUCAACCCCGGAACUGCUUUGGAAACUGUAAAACUGGAGUGCAGGAGAGGUAAGUGGAAUUCCUAGUGUAGCGGUGAAAUGCGUAGAUAUUAGGAGGAACACCAGUGGCGAAGGCGGCUUACUGGACUGUAACUGACGUUGAGGCUCGAAAGCGUGGGGAGCAAACAGGAUUAGAUACCCUGGUA
rnacentral:rRNA from 1 species